CCUGCAGGAAAGGACAUCAACCGAGACUCCGCAAGUAGUGGCGAGCGAACGCGGACCAGGCCAGUGGCAAUGAGGAAUAAAGUGGAAGGAUCUGGAAAGGUCUGCCGUAGCGGGUGACAGCCCCGUACACGUAGAACACUCAUUGUCCUUGAGUAAGGCGGGACACGAGAAAUCCUGUCUGAACAUGGGGAGACCACUCUCCAAGCCUAAGUACUCGUGCAUGACCGAUAGCGAACAAGUACCGUGAGGGAAAGGUGAAAAGCACCCCGACAAGGGGAGUGAAAUAGAACCUGAAACCGGAUGCCUACAAACAGUCGGAGCCCGCAAGGGUGACGGCGUACCUUUUGUAUAAUGGGUCAACGACUUAGUGUGACAUGCAAGCUUAAGCCGGUAGGUGGAGGCGUAGCGAAAGCGAGUCUGAACAGGGCGCCUUAGUAUGUCGCAUUAGACCCGAAACCGAGUGAUCUAGCCAUGAGCAGGUUGAAGGUUGGGUAACACCAACUGGAGGACCGAACCCGCAUCUGUUGCAAUAGAUUGGGAUGACUUGUGGCUAGGGGUGAAAGGCCAAUCAAACUCGGAAAUAGCUGGUUCUCCGCGAAAUCUAUUUAGGUAGAGCGUCGACCGAAUACCCCCGGGGGUAGAGCACUGGAUGGGCUAUGGGGACUCACCGUCUUACUGAUCCUAACCAAACUCCGAAUACCGGGGAGUACUAGUCGGCAGACACACGGCGGGUGCUAACGUCCGUCGUGAAAAGGGCAACAACCCUGACCUCCAGCUAAGGUCCCCAAGUCAUGGCUAAGUGGGAAAGGAUGUGAGGAUCCCAAAACAACCAGGAUGUUGGCUUAGAAGCAGCCAUCAUUUAAAGAAAGCGUAACAGCUCACUGGUCUAAAUAAGGGUCUUUGCGCCGAAAAUGUAACGGGGCUGAAGCCAUGCACCGAAGCUGAGGAUUUGCCUUACGGCAAGUGGUAGCGGAGCGUUCCGUAAGCCUGUGAAGGGAUACCCGUGAGGGGUCCUGGAGGUAUCGGAAGUGCGAAUGUUGACAUGAGUAACGAUAAAGAGGGUGAGAGACCCUCUCGCCGAAAGACCAAGGGUUCCUGCUUAAAGUUAAUCUGAGCAGGGUUAGCCGGCCCCUAAGACGAGGCGGACACGCGUAGUCGAUGGGAACCACGUUAAUAUUCGUGGGCCUGGUGGUAGUGACGGAUCGCUUAACUUGUCCGGACUUAUUGGAUUGUCCUGGCGGGGACGCGGUUCCAGGAAAUAGCUCCACCGUAUAGACCGUACCCGAAACCGACACAGGUGGUCAGGUAGAGUAUACCAAGGCGCUUGAGAGAACUAUGUUGAAGGAACUCGGCAAAUUGCACGCGUAACUUCGGAAGAAGCGUGACCCUUUUUAACGCAAGUUAGAUGGGGUGGCACAGACCAGGGGGUAGCGACUGUUUAUCAAAAACACAGGGCUCUGCGAAGUCGCAAGACGACGUAUAGGGUCUGACGCCUGCCCGGUGCUGGAAGGUUAAGAGGAGGGGUGCAAGCUCUGAAUCGAAGCCCCAGUAAACGGCGGCCGUAACUAUAACGGUCCUAAGGUAGCGAAAUUCCUUGUCGGGUAAGUUCCGACCUGCACGAAUGGCGUAACGACUUCCCCGCUGUCUCCAACAUAGACUCAGUGAAAUUGAAUUCCCCGUGAAGAUGCGGGGUUCCUGCGGUCAGACGGAAAGACCCCGUGCACCUUUACUAUAGCUUUACACUGGCAUUCGUGUCGGCAUGUGUAGGAUAGGUGGUAGGCUUUGAAGCGGGGACGCCAGUUCUCGUGGAGCCAUCCUUGAAAUACCACCCUUAUCGUCAUGGAUGUCUAACCGCGGUCCGUCAUCCGGAUCCGGGACAGUGUAU
rnacentral:rRNA from 1 species